UAAAAAUUUGACUGACCUCUACAAACUACAAUGGCUGUAAACACUUGCAAUGAUGCAUAGUUUUCUACAAUUUAGUCAAAACAGUGUUUAACGAAGCUAGCAAAAUUACGUGCUGCUAUCACUGAGCAAGUGGCCAAACUGUCAUUUCAGGUGAGAUGUAGCUAAGAUAUAAACCAAGACGGCAUGAAUUGCGCUGUUGUCACAUGAGCACCCUAUGCGAAACUGCCUGCUAGAUGAAUAUAUAUAUAUAUAUAUAUAUAUACAUGUAUGACGGAUGAUACGAAGCCCGGUAUGUAAUGCAGGCUCUCAGAAGCCCGGGCUUUCUACAUGCAAUACCGAUCUAUAAGUCGAAUAUAUCGCUUUAUUGUAAAAUGUUUAGUGGGGGCAACUUGAGAGGGGUAGAAAUUAUUUACAUACACCAAAAGCCUUACUUUGCUGUUUUAACGAAGCCAUUGAUAUACAACAUGAAAUGCGAAGCCCGGCUGUAUAAAAUGCAGAUAUUUCACAUGUGAAAUGCAACCAUGCUGCGUUGCCAUUUUGCUAUUGUUUCUCAGCCUUCUGAUGAGAUCAUUUUAAUUCUUGUGAUCGAAGUGCACGUACGAGGUGCUAGCAUGGACCACUUUAAGUUUUUGGUUAGUUUGGCUACUCAAAACGAAAUUGGUUACCCCAAGAUAUUUUUCAAACUGCAAAGGUGGCCAAAGUAUUAAUGUUGUUAGAAAAAGGCAGAGGAAGACAAUUUAUAGGAAAAAGCCUCGAUGAAAUAAAAAUAGACAAGGAUAUGUAUUUAAAUUCUGAUGACGAAGACUCUUUUCGUAAUACAGCUAGUUUUGAAAAUGUUGAAAGUGAAGAAAUUUCACAGUUUGGGCCGGAAAAUGCAGAAUGCACGGAGAGCACUUCUCAACUUAAUGCUGAACCAGGUCCUUCAAGCAUGGAAGCUGCAGUUAAAAAAGGAGGGAAGAAAAUAAAACCAUGUGGCCGCGUUCGUUGGACAGAAACUGAAAAGACAAUUGUUAUAAAAAAAACAUCAGCAUGCUUAGCUAGCAGUUCAUCACAUUCAUAUUUUUUUGGUGUGAUUUUCUUUUGAAUAUGCAGUUUGAAGUAAUCCGUAUAUUAAACAAGGAUUGGGUGCGCAUUAAAACUUUUGUGUACAAUGUGUUUA